UGUGUGGGUUGUCAGGAAAGUCACGAUGCUCUUUUGCAUAGAAAAAUACAUCGUGGUUUCCCCAGCGACCUAAGUCAGAGUCAGGACUGUAAGGCUGGCUUGGCAUUCAGAAAUAAAUUGGUGCAAGUCAUAGCCAAGGGAAAAAUCAAGUAAUUAUUUCAAUAGAUGCUGAAAUUCAACACCUAUUAAUGUUUGGAACUAAUUAAGGGAACUGCCUCCGUGUACGAAGAUGGACAACUCUGCAGAAGGUCUACGGCAGACAGAUGCCGUGUUUCAUGGAGAGAUGCCGAGAGCUCUCAGAGCCGGAACGAGACCGGAUGCCCUUAUCACCAUAUCUACCCGGCCGCGCACCGAAAGUCCCACGGACUGUCACUUACUGGAAAGAACGUGACGAAGCUCUCAUUACUGCGUUUCUGGAAAUGUCAAGGAUGGCGCAACCGUGCACACGCGGCACCGAGUGGUAGCGGGCAAGGAGGUGGCACGCCGCUGAGCUGGCUCUCCAGGGAGGCGAGCCCUGGAGAAGGAACAGAGAAGACCGAGUGACCGAGCUGAGCCCCUGGACGUCUCGAUGCUACACCACCCGGCCUCAGCCAGCCUGGACCACAGCCACUGCGCCGGUGUGCUCAGGGAGGUCCCCAGACACGAACCUGGGACCUCCCCACGUGGGCCAGCCUCGCAGUGUCACGUCUUGCUACUGUGUCCCCAAGUCCCUCAAUAUGUAAUGGGCGGCUCUUUUUCAAACCAGCAGCCUCACCACUGGCAGAGACAAGACAUGAGGCCUGGGGUCUCCUGCCGGCCCGGCUAGGGUCGAACGUGAGUGGGGACCUUGGGCGCCUGGUAUCCCUGACCCCAUCCUGAGCCCGUUCUGUCCGGGCUCC